GACGUAGGAGGCGAGCGUUAUCCGGAUUCACUGGGCGUAAAGCGCAUGUAGGCGGUUGCACAAGUCCGUUGUUAAAGCCCCUGGCUCAACUGGGGGAGGUCGAUGGAGACUGUGCGACUUGAGGGCAAUAGAGGCACGUGGAACUCCCGGUGUAGCGGUGGAAUGCGUAGAGAUCGGGAAGAACACCAGUGGCGAAGGCGACGUGCUGGGUUGCACCUGACGCUGAGAUGCGAAAGUGUGGGGAGCAAACGGG
rnacentral:rRNA from 1 species